UACGAAGGGAGCUAGCGUUGUUCGGAAUCACUGGGCGUAAAGCGCACGUAGGCGGAUUUGUCAGUCAGGGGUGAAAUCCCGGGGCUCAACCUCGGAACUGCCCUUGAUACAGCAAGUCUUGAGUCCGAUAGAGGUGGGUGGAAUUCCUAGUGUAGAGGUGAAAUUCGUAGAUAUUAGGAAGAACACCGGUGGCGAAGGCGGCCCACUGGAUCGGUACUGACGCUGAGGUGCGAAAGCGUGGGGAGCAAACAGG
rnacentral:rRNA from 1 species